GAUGAACGCUGGCGGCGUGCCUAAUACAUGCAAGUCGAGCGAACGGACGAGAAGCUUGCUUCUCUGAUGUUAGCGGCGGACGGGUGAGUAACACGUGGAUAACCUACCUAUAAGACUGGGAUAACUUCGGGAAACCGGAGCUAAUACCGGAUAAUAUUUUGAACCGCAUGGUUCAAACGUGAAAGACGGUCUUGCUGUCACUUAUAGAUGGAUCCGCGCUGCAUUAGCUAGUUGGUAAGGUAACGGCUUACCAAGGCAACGAUGCAUAGCCGACCUGAGAGGGUGAUCGGCCACACUGGAACUGAGACACGGUCCAGACUCCUACGAGAGGCAGCAGUCGGGAAUCUUCCGCAAUGGGCGAAAGCCUGACGGAGCAACGCCGCGUGAGUGAUGAAGGUCUUCGGAUCGUAAAACUCUGUUAUUAGUGAAGUACAUAUGUGUAAGUAACUGUGCACAUCUUGACGGUACCUAAUCAGAAAGCCACGGCUAACUACGUG
rnacentral:rRNA from 1 species